CCUACGGGAGGCAGCAGUGGGGAAUUUUGGACAAUGGGCGCAAGCCUGAUCCAGCCAUGCCGCGUGCGGGAAGAAGGCCUUCGGGUUGUAAACCGCUUUUGUCAGGGAAGAAAAGGUUCUGGCUAAUACCUGGGACUCAUGACGGUACCUGAAGAAUAAGCACCGGCUAACUACGUGCCAGCAGCCGCGGUAAUACGUAGGGUGCAAGCGUUAAUCGGAAUUACUGGGCGUAAAGCGUGCGCAGGCGGUUAUGCAAGACAGAGGUGAAAUCCCCGGGCUCAACCUGGGAACUGCCUUUGUGACUGCAUAGCUAGAGUACGGUAGAGGGGGAUGGAAUUCCGCGUGUAGCAGUGAAAUGCGUAGAUAUGCGGAGGAACACCGAUGGCGAAGGCAAUCCCCUGGACCUGUACUGACGCUCAUGCACGAAAGCGUGGGGAGCAAACAGGAUUAGAUACCCUGGUAGUCCACGCCCUAAACGAUGUCAACUGGUUGUUGGGAGGGUUUCUUCUCAGUAACGUAGCUAACGCGUGAAGUUGACCGCCUGGGGAGUACGGCCGCAAGGUUGAAACUCAAAUGAAAUUGACGG
rnacentral:rRNA from 1 species